AUUGAACGCUGGCGGCAUGCCUUACCCAUGCAAGUCGAACGGCAGCACGGGUGCUUGCCCCUGGUGGCGAGUGGCGAACGGGUGAGUAAUACAUCGGAACAUGUCCUGUAGUGGGGGAUAGCCCGGCGAAAGCCGGAUUAAUACCGCAUACGAUCUACGGAUGAAAGCGGGGGCCCUUCGGGCCUCGCGCUAUAGGGUUGGCCGAUGGCUGAUUAGCUAGUUGGUGGGGUAAAGGCCUACCAAGGCGACGAUCAGUAGCUGGUCUGAGAGGACGACCAGCCACACUGGGACUGAGACACGGCCCAGACUCCUACGGGAGGCAGCAGUGGGGAAUUUUGGACAAUGGGCGAAAGCCUGAUCCAGCAAUGCCGCGUGUGUGAAGAAGGCCUUCGGGUUGUAAAGCACUUUUGUCCGGAAAGAAAUCCUUGGCCCUAAUACGGUCGGGGGAUGACGGUACCGGAAGAAUAAGCACCGGCUAACUACGUG
rnacentral:rRNA from 1 species